rnacentral:rRNA from 1 species
AGUGAACGCUGGCGGUAGGCCUAACACAUGCAAGUCGAACGGCAGCACAGUAAGAGUUUGCUCUUACGGGUGGCGAGUGGCGGACGGGUGAGGAAUAUAUCGGAAUCUACUUUUUCGUGGGGGAUAACGUAGGGAAAUUUACGCCAAUACCGCAUACGAUCUACGGGUGAAAGCAGGGGAUCUUCGGACCUUGCGCGAUUGAAUGAGCCGAUGUCGGAUUAGCUAGUUGGCGGGGUAAAGGCCCACCAAGGCGACGAUCCGUAGCUGGUCUGAGAGGAUGAUCAGCCACACUGGAACUGAGACACGGUCCAGACUCCUGCGGGAGGCAGCAGUGGGGAAUAUUAGACAAUGGGCGCAAGCCUGAUCCAGCCAUACCGCGUGGGUGAAGAAGGCCUUCGGGUUGUAAAGCCCUUUUGUUGGGAAAGAAAAGCAUCAGGUUAAUACCCCGCUGUUCUGACGGUACCCAAAGAAUAAGCACCGGCUAACUUCGUG